UAAUGGCUGUUUUGUUAACCUUAGUUAACAUUUUACACAGUUAUUUGCUCCUCACGUUGUCUUUCUUAAAAUUCAUACUAACAAAUUGUUGUCAUGCUUUUGAAAUCAAUCUUUUCAGUGCAAAGGCAGCGAGGGGUCAUUUGCAACAAGACGGCUGAUACUAAUAUGGGCCUAAAAUAAAGGACAAUAAUGGCAUCAGCCAUUCAAGUUAUGAUCCUGGCAGAUCUACUACUAUCUGAAAAGUAGUCUCUGCAGAUAUUGUCAAGAUGCACAAGAUGGAGUGUGGAGAGACAGGACAUGGACCACAGUUUUUCAGCACCCACACACCACACUCAAAUUCAUAUAGAAGUUCUCAAUUAUUAAAUGUUAAUAUGAUAGUUUAUAUUUAGCUGUGAAGUUAUAGUUCAUUGUCAUAAAUAUUAAACUACAUAUUAUUAUUAUUUUACAUGAUAUGCAAAUUUCACCAAUUUGUUCAAUGUGUUAAUGAACUUUUUGAAAGUGAUUAUCUUUAAUAAUUCAGAUACCUGUUGAAAUGCACAUGUAAUUAUAUACUUGCUCGUAUCUGGAAGGUUGUGUUAAUAAAAAUGAUGUUGAAAGCAAAUGUUGCAAUACUGCUAAUCUUAAAAUAACAUUUUAUUAAACUAAACUUUGUAAUGUUCCAAAUAAAUGUUUUUAGGAUGUUGUAUUUUUAAGAAAAUGUAGGUGGAAAUAAAGUUGUAGGAACAUUAUGCUAACCAUAAAAUAACGUUCUAGCUACGUUAAGCAAACUGGACAUUUUAACGUUCUUGGAAUGUUCCAAAUAAACGUUCAUAGAACGUUAUGUUUUUAGUGAAAUUUAGGUUGCAAGAACGUUGUAGGAACGUUAUGCUAACAAAAAAAUAACGUUCUAGGAACGUUAAGCAAACUGGACAUUUUAACGUUCUUGGAAUGUUCCAAAUAAACGUUCAUAGAACGUUAUUUUUUUAGUGAAUUUUAGGUUGCAAGAACGUUGUAGGAACGUUAUGCUAACCAUCAAAUAACGUUCUAGCAACGUAACGCAAACUGGACAUUUCCACAUUUUUGGAACAUUCCAAAUAACGUUCCCACAACCAAAACAGAACGUUACAAAAACGUUCUCAGAACAUAAAUUUGUUAGCUGGGAUGAACUAACAAUGAAUGAUUGUAUUUUUAUUAACUAACGUUAACAAAGAGGAAUAAAUACUGUAAUAAAUGCAUUGUUCAUUGUUUGUUCAUGUUAGUUAAUACAUUAACUAAUGUUAACAAAUGACCCAUUAUUCUAAAGUGUUACCCAUUUUAGUUCAGUCUCGUCUUGUUAAUGAAGACGCGGCAUAAAUUUCAUCAUAGUUUUUAUCAUCAGACAUUAAUUUUAGCUUGUCAACGUCUCGUCUUAGUCACAGAAAAAAGGUUCGUUGACGAAUAUUUUUCGUCUUAGUCUUCGUCGACGAAAUUAACACUGUACUACACUUUCUUGAACAGAACAUUUAUUUUAUCAUUAUUUAUUUAUUUAAUUUUUUUACUGCUUUAAGAUGUUUUACGCUUCUUAAUUCUAAGUUCAUGUUAAAUGUAACAAUUUUUUCAGUGACUGACAGACAGACCUAUACAGAAUGUUAUUCAACCUUGAAAUGUGAUCUUGUAUGCACAAAGAAAGUUAUUGAAAUUUGUUAAGGUUUUUGAAAUUAAUCUGUUAUUUGAAUUUCAGUUUAAUUUUUCAAAUUUAUUCAAAAUAUCGUGAUACAUAUCGUAUCGUGAACCCA